AGUCAACAUGCCCAGAGGACGUGGAUAACCUCGGGAAACUGAGGAUAAACCGCGAUAGGUCAUAAUAUCUGGAAUGAUUUAUGGUUUAAAUCUAUAUGGCCUCUGGAUUGGACUGCGGCCGAUCAGGCUGUUGGUGAGGUAAUGGCCCACCAAACCUAAAACCGGUACGGGCUCUGAGAGGAGAAGCCCGGAGAUGGGCACUGAGACAAGGGCCCAGGCCCUAUGGGGCGCAGCAGGCGCGAAAACUCUGCAAUAAGCGAAAGCUUGACAGGGUUAUUCUGAGUGAUUUCCGCUAAGGAAAUCUUUUGGCACCUCUAAAAAUGGUGCAGAAUAAGGGGUGGGCAAGCCUGGUGUCAGCCGCCGCGGUAAUACCAGCACCCCGAGUGGUCGGGACGAUUAUUGGGCCUAAAGCAUCCGUAGCCGGUUCUACAAGUCUUCCGUCAAAUCCACCUGCUUAACAGAUGGGCUGCGGAGGAUACUAUGGAGCUAGGAGGCGGGAGAGGCAAGCGGUACUUAGUGGGUAGGGGUAAAAUCCGUUGAUCCAUUGAAGACCACCAGUGGCGAAGGCGGCUUGCCAGAACGCACUCGACGGUGAGGGAUGAAAGCUGGGGGAGCAAACCGGAUUAGAUACCCGGGUAGUCCCAGCUGUAAACGAUGCAGACUCGGUGAUGAAUAGGCUUCGUGCCUAUUCAGUGCCGCAGGGAAGCCGUUAAGUCUGCCGCCUGGGGAGUACGGUCGCAAGACUGAAACUUAA
rnacentral:rRNA from 1 species